CAAGUUCCUUUCAUGCAGCCUAGC
rnacentral:piRNA from 1 species